rnacentral:lncRNA from 1 species
GCUGUCUGGGGCUGCGCAGGAGGAUGCCCUUCUACCGUCUCGGGCUGGGCAGGAGGGGCCCAUCUACCUUCCCCGGCUGCGCACGAGAGGCCCUCCACCGUGUUGUGCUGUGCAAGCAGUGAGCAAGCGCCGCCUCCUUGGGAGCUGGGAUCCCAGACGGGAUUCAGCCAUUUUCAGAGACCUACCGAGAAACAAGAAUGCCAGAUCAAUUCCUCGCCUGGCAUCUCCCACCAGCGCCAUCGCUGCAGGAGCCUCGCAGGAAGCCAGCGGGCAGAGGAGAGUGGGGAAGGAGCUUGCAGCCUCCCAGCGCCAGUGCUGCGGAGCAGAAGGUGGCUGGGAGGCCGAGAAGCCGUAAGAAAACAGCAGGGCCAGCCCAUGUGGCGCUCAGAUACAUGCUGUGUGUGUUUGCAUAUGUAGGGCCUGGAAAAACUCCACCUCCAUCCUUUUGAGGUCCUGGCUGAGCCCAAGAGUUAAAUCAAGAUAAGACAGAUCAUCAUGCCAACGUAUUUGAUUCAGGUUGGAUGUGGCUCGGGAGCCCUCCUAAGGAAAUGAAGACUCAGUGAAGCGGCCUCAGUCACUCGUGUGCUGAGUUGGACGGAGAACAGUGAGGUUCCAGGAAGCAGCUAGAUGAUGUGAAGGCCUGAAAAGGUGAGAGGCAUUUUAUCAAGGACUGUACAGCAUUUGCUGGUUCUCAGCUUCUCAUCCUUGAGGAUCCGAGCUUUCUAGUGUAGGGAGAGCAUCUUUCGCCCGGGAAUUUCAUCUUCUGCUUUUAAGAAACACAAGAGAGAUCAGAAUGGUCUUUUUGCACCUGUUUUUUUUUAGCUGCCUUUAAUUCCAAAUAGUGACUGCCAGAGCAGCCUGUAUUGGGGUGGCACCUUCUUAACUCUGCAUGCUGUGCAUAACUGGCACACAUCAUUUAAAGUAAAUAGACAGGUUUGCUUACUUUUUACUCAGGUGCAACGUAAUUCAGAAAAGUGUAGACAUGCUCAGUAGGCAGCUCCUUCUACCUGCCUGUCGACUUUCUUUCAUCCAUGACGUAUUGGUCGGCUCUCGCUAGGCUGUGCUGCUGAAACAACUCGCAAGCCUGGGUCAAUCACAGCAACCAAGUUUCCCCUCCCACUCACGUUUCUUGUUGGCCACGGGGUGGCUCAGCUCCUGAUGCCUCCUUCAUUCUGGGGUCCAGGCUGAGCAAGCUGUGGCUCUCUGGAACAUGCCGUUCUUCUGACCAAGAGAGGACACGGAGGAGAGAUGGAGAAACCAUGCCACACUCUCCCAGUGGCCAUACACAACUGGGAUGUGUCGCUUGCACUCCCAUGCCACUGGCCAAAGCAAGUCGUGUGGCCAAGGAGGCUGUCUGAGGGGCAGGGAAGAGCGCUUCCUCCUCCAGGUGGUGUCAGCUCUGGGACUGGGUUUUAGCUUUUCUUACAAGGGAAGAGCUGGCCCGUUACUGCAGCAGGGAUGCUGACAGAACACAUGAAACUCCAGGGUCAGAGACAAAGGACUUUGUCAUUCACGGCAUGGCAGGCAGGUGCUCACCUGUGUGUUUGGUCUUAUCCCCUUGCCCCCAAGUUCCACGGACACCAUGCGGGUAGGCCUGGGUGGGCGCUGCACAGUCAGUGAGUUUGCAUGGCCACUGAGGAGCCCUGCACUGGGGGAGUCGGCUGUUUCUGCAGCAAGCAGUGAGCAAGCUGCUCUUUGUCCCUCGAGGACUCUCAGGGCAAACCACCCUGAGAAAUGGGGGAGGGUACUCAGGGCCUGCGUUCCUGGCAGGCCCUGUGAGAGGUGGGGGGCACGAGACACUUGUGGAGGACUGCCCUCUUAACAGGAGAAGCUGCCAGUACCAGAGGCCAAAGGGAGUUACUCAGAGAUUUCACUGGCAUCCCUAGGCUGCCUGGUGCCACAUAUGUGAAAACAGUCAUUUCAUUGAAGCUUGUCUACUCAGUAGCUAUUGAAGCGGGGAGGGUGUCUUAGUCUAUUAAGGCUGCUAUUUUAACAAACAAAAAAAUAUAAACUACCACAGACUGGGUGGCUUUUAAAGAACAGAAAUUGAUUUCUCACAUUUCUAGAGGCUGGAGGUCCAAGAUCAAAGCGCCGGCAUAUUCAGGGUCUGGCGAGGACCCCUUCCUGGUUCCUAGAUCGCUUCUUCAUGCCGUGUCCUCACAGGGCGGAAGGCACGAGGGGGCUCUCCAGGACCGCCUUUUUAAAGGCACGAACCCUGGCCAGGCACAGUGGCUCACACCUGUAAUUCCAGCACUUUGGGAGACUGAGGUGGGCGGAUCACCUGUGGUCAGGAAUUCAAGACCAGCCUGGCUAACAUGGUGAAACCCUGUCUCUACUAAAAAUACAAAAGUUAGCUGGGCGUGUUGGCAGGUGCCUGUAGUCCCAGCUACUCGGGAGGCUGAGGCAGGAGAAUCACUUGAACUCAGGAGGUGGAAUUUGCAGUGAGCCAAGAUCGCGCCACUGCAUUCCAGCCUGGGCGACAGAGUGAGACUUCGUCUCAAAAUAAAAUAAAAUUAAAUAAAUAAAUAAAUAAAUAAGGGCACUAACCCAUUCCUGAGGGCUCCACCCUCACUAAGCACCCACCUAAGCACAUGCCAAAGCCCCACCUCAUAAUGUCAUCGCAUUAGGGAUUCGGUUUCAGCAUAUGAACUGGGGGAGGGCACACAAACGGGGGAAAUUGGCUCCACUGUGUGAAAAUUGUCAAUACCAAGGCAGAGUCACUUACGUCAGGACCCAAGCAAAACGCAGCUGGGAAGCCUCAAGGAAAGGUUUCUCAUGCCCAGGUGCCUACGAUGAGAACUGUUGCAGGGACUCCGACAGCACACAACAUUCCAGAUCAGCUCCUCCUAUGAAGACGCCUCCCCAGCAACAAUUGUGUUACCCAUGAGUGAUCACUAACCCUGCAAUAAGCUCCUGUACCCAGUGAAGUCUAUUCCAAAACAAUCUGUGUAGACUUCCUCAUCUCACCCAUAAAAGAAAGACACACGUACGGUCCCCUACAGCAUGCAUAUCCCAGAUUGCAAUCCCCUGCCAUCCCCCAGUAAACUUCGUUUGGGAGA